rnacentral:rRNA from 1 species
AGCGAACGCUGGCGGCAGGCCUAACACAUGCAAGUCGAACGAACUCUUCGGAGUUAGUGGCGGACGGGUGAGUAACACGUGGGAACGUGCCCUUUGGUACGGAAUAACUCAGGGAAACUUGAGCUAAUACCGCAUGUGCCCUUCGGGGGAAAGAUUUAUCGCCAUUGGAGCGGCCCGCGUCUGAUUAGCUAGUUGGGGAGGUAACGGCUCACCAAGGCGACGAUCAGUAGCGGGUCUGAGAGGAUGACCAGCCACAUUGGGACUGAGACACGGCCCAAACUCCUACGGGAGGCAGCAGUGGGGAAUCUUGCGCAAUGGGCGAAAGCCUGACGCAGCCAUGCCGCGUGGAUGAUGAAGGUCUUAGGAUUGUAAAAUCCUUUCACCGGUGAAGAUAAUGACUGUAGCCGGAGAAGAAGCCCCGGCUAACUUCGUGCCAGCAGCCGCCGUAAGAC